rnacentral:rRNA from 1 species
CAGUAGCCGCGGUAAUACGUAGGGUGCGAGCGUUAAUCGGAAUUACUGGGCGUAAAGCGUGCGCAGGCGGUUAUAUAAGACAGAUGUGAAAUCCCCGGGCUCAACCUGGGACCUGCAUUUGUGACUGUAUAGCUAGAGUACGGUAGAGGGGGAUGGAAUUCCGCGUGUAGCAGUGAAAUGCGUAGACAUGCGGAGGAACACCGAUGGCGAAGGCAAUCCCCUGGACCUGUACUGACGCUCAUGCACGAAAGCGUGGGGAGCAAACAGGAUUAGAUACCCGUGUAGUCCCUGUCUCUUAUCC